rnacentral:lncRNA from 1 species
CUCACAUCAGCAAUCUCAACGCGUGGGAGACAGAGACAGGAAGAUUACAGCAAGUUCUAUGCCAGCCUGGGCUAUACGGGCCUAGCAGAGGCAGGAGCCUCCUCUGGUUUCCCUGACACUGUGAGACCAGGCAGCAGAAAUCUGGCUCCUGAGAGUCACUCCAGACAUACCCCGCCGCCGUUCGACCUGUGUGAACACAUUUGCACACAGCUGAAAUCUGUAAUCCUGUGGCCACUGUACUUCCUUCAAAACCAGGUCUGGUGCAUCCAGCAGUGGAAGCAGGUGUCUUGGAGGACUUGAAGCCAAUCUUACUUUGGGGCUAUACCUGGAAGGAACACAAAGACUGACCAAGGUUGCUUCUGUCACUCAGCCAUCCUGACCUAUUACUGAGAAUCCCUCCGAUUAUCCACCCGGGCUUUCCCUCCUGGGCUCCUAUAAUGGGGCGGGGGGGGGGCGGGCACGCUUCCUCACUACCAAGAUUGAGGGCUAUCUGGAUCAGCCUAACAGGAAAAUCAAUCAGUUCUUC